rnacentral:rRNA from 1 species
AACGCGAAGAACCUUACCUACCCUUGACAUCCACAGAAGACUGUAGAGAUAUGGUUGUGCCGAAAGGAACUGUGAGACAGGUGCUGCAUGGCUGUCGUCAGCUCGUGUUGUGAGAUGUUGGGUUAAGUCCCGUAACGAGCGCAACCCUUAUCCUUAGUUGCCAACAUGUAAUGGUGGGGACUCUAAGGAGACUGCUGGUGAAGAACCGGAGGAAGGCGGGGACGACGUCAAGUCAUCAUGGCCUUUAUGGGUAGGGCCACACACGUGCUACAAUGGGGCGUACAGAGGGAAGCCAACCUGCGAAGGGGAGCCAAUCUCAGAAAGCGCCUCGUAGUCCGGAUUGAAGUCUGCAACUCGACUUCAUGAAGUCGGAAUCGCUAGUAAUCGCGAAUCAGAACGUCGCGGUGAAUACGUUCCCGGGCCUUGUACACACCGUACGUC